AAGAAUGGCUUCUAGACCCUUUAUCAUCUUUGACAUCUUUUUAAAUAUAUCUUCCCUUUUAUCAAUAUCCUUCUUAAAAUCUCCUUAUCAGAAAUAAGAAAGAUAAAUGAGAGAAUUACUAUGAGGACAUGGGUUAUGAAAGCUUCUACAGAAGCACAAUUAUCUAGCUUAUGAAGUCAUACCUUAAUCAUUGGCAAAAUAAUUGAAUUAGACCAAGAUCACAGAAUUCUACAGUACUCUUUCAUACACUCUCUAUGGUCCACUGUUUUCCAAGGAGUAUAGCAAAGAAUGAGCUUUUAUUUUUUUUUAGAGACAGGUUCUUGUUUGGUUGCCCAGGCUGAAGUGCAGUGGCAUCAUCAUAGCUCACUGCGGUCUUGAACUCCUGGGCUCAAGGGAUCCUCUUGCCUCAGCCUCCUAGGUAGUUAAGACUAGAAGUGGGAGCCAUUACACCCAGGUAAUUUUUUUUUUUAAGAGAUUGGGUCUCAGUAUGUUGCCCAGGCUCGUCUUGUACUCCUGGUCUAAAGCAAUUCUUCUGCCUCAGCCUCCAGAGUUGCUAGGAUUACAGUCGUGAGCCAUGGCUCCUGGCUAAUAACAGUGAAACCUGAUUGAGCAUAUAGCAUGUACCACACAUUGAGCAUGUACAUUCUAUGCAUUAGCUCAUCUUAUAUUCACAAUAAUUCCUUGAGGUAAAUAUUAUCAUUACAUCAUUUUACAGGUGAGAAAACUGAAGCUUGAAGAAAUUAUUCGCUUAAGGUUAAACAAGAAAAUGGCAAAGUUGGAACUCCACCCAGAUUUCUCUGAUUGCAAAGCCAAAGCUUUUAAAUCUCACACUUACAUUGCUUACUCUUAAAAAUAGAUAAAUGACAGAGAGAGAAAAAAAGAGAGAUAAAAUUAGAAAGUAAAUGUGAUCACACAAAUUUAGGAAACUCUUACGUUAUAUAAAGAAAACAGGUAACAGCUCAAUUUCCCAGAACCUUUGAUAUACUAAUAUACAUUGCUAAUCUUCAACAAAGGGAUAUACUGUGCCUCCUUCCCCAAACUUACUUAACUAGAAACACUUCUUUCUAAGUGAAUCUUGCAGGACUAGUGUCCCACAAAACAGACUUUGGAAAAUGCUGCUUUAAGGUAAGAACAACUCUUUAAAAGAUUUUUAGUACAUAUGUUUAGUACAUAUCAGUUAUGAAGCUAACAAAUAGUGCUUAUGCCAGCAGAUUUUCAUACUUAAAUUCUUUACUUGAGGGAAACCAACUACCUAAAUAUAGUCUGAGGAACAGAGAGGAAUGUGCUUGACAGUAGCACCUUCCUUCCUUUAUUCAUUCAAAAGAAAGUAAUGAACAGGUACCAUGAGUAAAACUGUGCUAAGUGCUGGGCAUACAUAAAUGGCUAUAACCCAAUUAAUUACUUCUCUCAAGGUAUUCAUUGUUUUGUGGGGGAGGUAGAGAGUCACAUACUGUGAGGAAAUAAUGAUAUAGUAUGAUGAGCACAACAUUUCGAUCAUGCACAAAGCUUAGAUUCCACAUAAAAGGAAAUUUAACUCCAUUUGGGUAUAUCAGGGAAGAUGUCACGAAAGAGGGGCUACAUUCUCUUUUUCUUUGCCCUGAUUGCUAAUAGUAGUCCAAAUGUUUUAUCGACUUUUUUGUCCCUCAAUAACUGAGAAUAUAUUUCCCCAAAUACCAAAAAUUAAAGUAUCACUCAUCUCAAAAUUGACCAAAAAUUACUCUUUUUACAAAACAAUGUGCAUGUUUAUGUAUAUAGGCCCAUAUACCUGAUAACAAUUUGCUAAUAUGUCUUCAAUAUUUAAAACUCAAUAUCAAAUAGACACUUGCUUCUCUAGAGAAUAAUUUUGUGGAGAAACACAUGCUCUAUGAAUGCUUAGGACCUAUAUUUACAGACAAUGGGAAAUUACUUCUAUAAUAUUAUGAAUCAGAAAAAUGUUACACAUAAGUUUACACACACACAUAAUGUUACACAUAAGUACUUUUCUAAAGUACUUUAGUAUUUACAGCAUUUGAAAAAAGACUUCAGGAUUAUUGCAGGUGAUUUCUUGGACUAAUACUAGAGGGGAAAGGAGGUAGAAAGGAGUGACACUGAUAUGGAGCCAGGCUUGGUAAGCCAGCUUUGGACUAAUUGUCAUAUCAAUCCCUCAAUUUCAGUCUCCAAAAACUAAAUGAAAACAAGCAUAUAUAACUGACAUUCUUACAAGAAAAGAAUGUUCAGGUCUACAGACGGUAAGGUCUGUGUUUGGAAGAGGACCAUGGAACUGAUCUUAUUUGAAAGAAAAUAGCCAGGAUCUACUUGAAAUUACUGAAACACAUGUUUCUACAACACUAAUACUAUAGGGAUGUUGCUUGCCCAUCCCCACCCUUGUUCUGAGAAUACUGGGUUCUACUAAGGUAAAAAAAAGAAAAGAAAAGGAAAAAAAGGAAAGAAACAAACAAGAAAGUGAUGACAGAGGUAGAACUUUUACUACUAUAGCCCUAGGUUAGGCCAAAUAAUAACAACUACCAUUUAUUGAAUGACAACCAUGUCCCAGGCAUGUCACAAACACUAUCCUGUUAAUGCUUCAAAGUGGACAUUUUUAUCCUCGUUUUACAAAUAAGAAAACUGAGGCUCAAAGGGUUUAGGAAAUCUGCCUAAGGUGAUACAGCUAUGUUGUAGCAGAAUGAGGAUUCUAAUCCAGGAAUAAUGUCUCACUCCAAACACCGCAAGUUUCCAUUCAUCAGCUGCUUCAGUGGAGAGAGGAUAGAUAUCUAUCAGCCUGUGUUCACUGCAUGCCUCUUUGAGAAACACAGACCCUGAGACGAACUUAUACCCAAAGAAGAUUUGGUGGUUUCUCAUUAAGCCCCUGGCAAUCUGAGGCGGGUAAGUCCAAUAUCAAAGUGCUGACAUCUGGCGGGGGCCUUCCUGCCACGUCAUCCGAUAGAAGGGUGAGAGAACGCUUGCGCAAGAGAGCAAAAGGAAAAGGACGCCAAACUGAUCCUUUUACUGGGAGGGAGCCCACUCUCACAAUAACGCCAUUAGUUCUCUCCUGAGGGCAGAGCUCUUAAAAAUUGCACCUCCCCAGGCUGUCACGUCGGAGAUUAACUUUCCCACACAUGAACCUUGGAGGACACAUUCAAACCAUAGCAGAGAAGAACCUGACAAGAUCACCCGUUAGUAAGUGGGGGAGCUGGGAAUCGAAGCCAGGCAGCCAGAGUCUGUCUUAACCACUGUGCUCCUAGGAAAGUUGGGAGUGGACAGCAUGGGUGGAAGUCUUUUACAAGCAUUUAAAGAUUAAAGUCUUUUAAAAGAUUUAAAGGUGGAAGUCUUAAAAAGCACGCCAUGGAAUUUCACCUUGCUGGUGAUAGACGUAUAUGGAGCGAAGUAUAAAACAAAGAUUUUUUUCAGGCAGCUGUUUUCACAUGGGACUGGAAGGGCAUCUGACACCACUGACUUCCUGACGUGCUCUUUAACUUUAGAUUUCAAUGCACGCUUGUCUUCUGAGUCUCUUUCCACUUUCCUAAUGAUUCAUUUUUCAGACUCCUUUAAUGUCUCCUUCUCUUCCUCCUCCACUUUCCCUGGA